rnacentral:rRNA from 1 species
UGGGGAAUUUUGGACAAUGGGCGCAAGCCUGAUCCAGCCAUGCCGCGUGCGGGAAGAAGGCCUUCGGGUUGUAAACCGCUUUUGUCAGGGAAGAAAUCUUCUGAGUUAAUACCUCGGGAGGAUGACGGUACCUGAAGAAUAAGCACCGGCUAACUACGUGCCAGCAGCCGCGGUAAUACGUAGGGUGCAAGCGUUAAUCGGAAUUACUGGGCGUAAAGCGUGCGCAGGCGGUUUUGUAAGACAGAGGUGAAAUCCCCGGGCUCAACCUGGGAACUGCCUUUGUGACUGCAAGGCUUGAGUGCGGCAGAGGGGGCAUGGAAUUCCGCGUGUAGCAGUGAAAUUGCGUAGAUAUGCGGAGGAACACCGAUGGCGAAGGCAAUCCCCUGGGCCUGCACUGACGCUCAUGCACGAAAGCGUGGGGAGCAAACAGGAUUAGAUACCCUGGUAGUCCACGCCCUAAACGAUGUCAACUGGUUGUUGGGAAGGUUCCUUCUCAGUAACGUAGCUAACGCGUGAAGUUGACCGCCUGGGGAGUACGGCCGCAAGGUUGAAA